GCCUUCGUGGUGUAGUGGUCAGCACGCUCAGCGCGUAUUCGCGAGGUCCUUGGUUCGAAUCCUGACGAAGGCA
rnacentral:tRNA from 1 species